rnacentral:piRNA from 1 species
UAGGAUUGGUGAUCAUAUACAACUUUUGG